GACGAACGCUGGCGGCGUGCUUAACACAUGCAAGUCGAACGGUAAGGCCCUUCGGGGUACACGAGUGGCGAACGGGUGAGUAACACGUGGGUGAUCUGCCCUGCACUUCGGGAUAAGCCUGGGAAACUGGGUCUAAUACCGGAUAGGACCACUGCCUGCAUGGGUGGUGGUGGAAAGCUUUUGCGGUGUGGGGUGGGCCCGCGGCCUAUCAGCUUGUUGGUGGGGUGAUGGCCUACCAAGGCGACGACGGGUAGCCGGCCGGAGAGGGUGACCGGCCACACUGGGGCUGAGAUACGGCCCAGACUCCUACGGGAGGCAGCAGUGGGGAAUAUUGCACAAUGGGCGCAAGCCUGAUGCAGCGACGCCGCGUGAGGGAUGACGGCCUUCGGGUUGUAAACCUCUUUCAGCACCGACGAAGCGCAAGUGACGGUAGGUGCAGAAGAAGGACCGGCCAACUACGUGCCAGCCGCCGCAGUAA
rnacentral:rRNA from 1 species